CAGUUUUGAAUAUAAACAUUGAGUAGGUGCUCAAAUAUUUUGCUAAUGAUAGUUUCCAACUUGCUUUUUAGCAGAGCUACAAAACUAUUAGCAGCUUUUAAUUAUGUGUACUUAAAAUGGAUUUGGUGUCCAGGACAUGUGGAGUUGAGAUCAGGUUGAAUUAUGUGCUGAUGUUCUUCGAUAGUAUAAUUGUUCUUCUCCUUUAACAUGAUGCACCAUUGACUUAUUUUUUUAGAUGCUCAAAUACGCAGAGUAAUGACAUCCUGUAUGCGCUUGGACACCCAGCAGAUUGAAAAUAUAGAAGCAAAGAUAUCCAAUACGAGGCCACGAUGCCCGACAGAGAUGCAGCCAAUACGCGCCCAAUCUUUAUUUCUUGAUGUUGGAACAACAAAUAAGAGCAUGUUCAUGUUUAUUUAUUAUGAUUCCUGAAACACUGUCCAGAAUUCCACUGCUACAGAAUUGAAAUUCGAUAGCACAUGAACGAGGACGGAUCCAAGGUUGAGUACUGGGUGUGGAACCCCUUUAGAUCCAAGUUGGCUGCUGUUGUACUCUGUGGUGUGGACAACAUCUGGAUUGUCCGAGGAAUUACAGCUUGGGGACUUGGGAGGCGAUCGUAAAAGCGGUGUGCUACAGUGUAAUGCACUAGCAAUAUGUGAAGAUUUUUUUAAGGAGGGGGUUAAUAAACAAUCAGAAAAUUCUUUUGCCCCCUCAGAAAACUAUGUUCCGUGUUUGGCCCCUCUGGGCAUUGAUGUGAAGCUAUACAGUCGUGUAAUAUGACCAAACUCAUCACCUCGGGGUUGAUCACAUUCGUCGUGAAUAGGUGGAUAACAUGACCAUCAUCGA